AAUUCAUACAAAACUUUCCCACUUAAACUAUUCCCCCUAAAAUUUUCCAUAGCUUCCCCCUCACUCUAGGUCUAGGGCUUGAAACCCACGAAGAAAACUUUUUCUGCACUCGAUUUUUCAAAAGAUGGGAUUGUCGAUGGCACGUAGUCGGCGACGAUCUUCAGAAGAAGAUCUGAUUUACUUCACUCAGCUUCUCCAGACAACAAGAAAGGCCAUGGUCUGACCAAGAAGUACAGAGAUCUUCAGACACAUAAGCAUGCCAUCCAGAGAAACGUUGACAGCAUGCACAAGACAUUCACAGUGCUGGUGUAAUUUGUGGACUGAUCUGGUGCAAUAUAGCUCCUUAUCCUGGUGCAUAAAAGGGAUUGAUCUGGUGCAAUUUAGCUUGCUAUUUUGGUGCGAAGAUCGAUCUUCAAACUGGUAUAUCUUGUCGAGUAAGUGUGGUGCACUUUGAGAUGCAUAGCUGGUGUAAAGUUCAGUCUACAAAUUGGAUCAUUUGGGCAUCUAUGGGUACAUUUAAUAUUUCUCUCUUUUUUCUAUUUCUCCAUAAACAAAGGAAUGCAUCCAAUAAUGUUUCUAACUAAACAUUUGACAUUA